rnacentral:rRNA from 1 species
GAUGAACGCUGGCGGCGUGCCUAAUACAUGCAAGUCGAGCGAAUGGAUUAAGAGCUUGCUCUUAUGAAGUUAGCGGCGGACGGGUGAGUAACACGUGGGUAACCUGCCCAUAAGACUGGGAUAACUCCGGGAAACCGGGGCUAAUACCGGAUAACAUUUUGAAACGCAUGGUUCGAAAUUGAAAGGCGGCUUCGGCUGUCACUUAUGGAUGGACCCGCGUCGCAUUAGCUAGUUGGUGAGGUAACGCCUCACCAAGGCAACGAUGCGUGGCCGACCUGAGAGGGUGAUCGGCCGCACUGGGACUGAGACACGGCCCAGACUCCUACGGGAGGCAGCAGUAGGGAAUCUUCCGCAAUGGACGAAAGUCUGACGGAGCAACGCCGCGUGAGUGAUGAAGGCUUUCGGGUCGUAAAACUCUGUUGUUAGGGAAGAACAAGUGCUAGUUGAAUAAGCUGGCACCUUGACGGUACCUAACCAGAAAGCCACGGCUAACUACGUGCCAGCAGCCGCCGCCG